GAUCUCAUGGACCACGAUGACCAAGAUGCCAUAGCUUCAGUUGUUACAAUCUUGCUUCAAGGAGCAGAAAAUCAGAGAGAGAAGGAAAUUUAAAAGUAUGGCACAGGACCAUACUCAGUAUUUCAACAAUUGCACUUGCCUGGGUGAAGCUUUAUCUGGCAGUAAUUCCCAUGGCAUCUAUUAUUUGUUAAGAUUGCCUGCCUCUUGAAAUAGUUCCCUGGUCUGGAUGGAGGCAACUAUGGAUACCUAAUUCCAUUGCUCUGACCAAUGUGUGGUAGCAGCUUGUGAGUAGGAAGAAGGAAGAAUCUCCAUCUCUUUUGGCAUCAUGGAACUUUCCUGCAUGGCUUACUUCCAGACUUUGUUAUGUG
rnacentral:lncRNA from 1 species